rnacentral:rRNA from 1 species
UACGUAGGCAGCAAGCGUUGUUCGGAGUUACUGGGCGUAAAGAGCGCGCAGGCGGUCUUGUAAGUCGAAUGUGAAAGCCCCUGGCUCAACCGGGGAGGGUCAUUCGAUACUGCUCGACUCGAAGGCAGGAGAGGGAAGCGGAAUUCCCGGUGUAGUGGUGAAAUGCGUAGAUAUCGGGAGGAACACCAGUGGCGAAGGCGGCUUUCUGGCCUGUUCUUGACGCUGAGGCGCGAAAGCUAGGGGAGCAAACGGG